rnacentral:rRNA from 1 species
GACGAACGCUGGCGGCGUGCUUAACACAUGCAAGUCGAGCGAUGAGAUCACUUCGGUGAAGGAUUAGCGGCGAACGGGUGAGGAACACGUGAAGAAUCUGCCUUCAACUCUGGGAUAACUCCGGGAAACCGGGGCUAAUACCGGAUAUGAGCCUUGAUCGCAUGAUCGGGGCUGGAAAGUUUUUCGGUUGAAGAUGACUUCGCGGCCUAUCAGCUUGUUGGUGAGGUAAUGGCUCACCAAGGCGACGACGGGUAGCCGGCCUGAGAGGGCGACCGGCCACACUGGGACUGAGACACGGCCCAGACUCCUACGGGAGGCAGCAGUGGGGAAUAUUGGGCAAUGGAGGAAACUCUGACCCAGCGACGCCGCGUGCGGGAUGAAGGCCUUCGGGUUGUAAACCGCUUUCAGCAGGGAAUAAGCGCAAGUGAAGGUACCUGCAGAAGAAGCACCGGCUAACUAUGUGCCAGCCGCCGCAGUAA